CUAAAAGGCGAGUAGAAGGGACAAAGGAAAUGUCUGGGCAAACUGCUGGACCAUAUAACAGAUUUUCCAUCCAAUACUGCUGUCCCUGCCCUGCGCUUACCUUCUACCAUGAAGCUACUUCCGUUGGUGAACCAGGUUGCUGCUCCCAGCCAUGGCUGAUCUGUGAGGUCUGGUCGAGUUCCCAUUUCUUCUGCCAAUGCCAAUAUUUCUUCACAGUUGUGCACUGGAGUCUUGUCAAUUUCGGGUAACAAAUUGGCGGGAUUGACGAUGGUAGGAGGGGCAAAAGUCACUCUCUCAGUGAGGAGCAAGCUCUGGUAGUGAGUCAUUGGAGUGUUGGUCAUCCAGCGGUCCGGUGGCUUCCUGAUAAUGCUCUCAAGGGAGUGUGGAGCCACCACAGUGAUAUUUUGGCCCAUGGUUAAUUUAUCAGCAUCCUUUACCAUCACCACUGUAGCUGCUAUCGCAUGCAGGCAAGAAGUCCA
rnacentral:lncRNA from 1 species